GUGGGGAAUAUUGGGCAAUGGGCGCAAGCCUGACCCAGCAACGCCGCGUGAGGGAAGAAGGCUUUCGGGUUGUAAACCUCUGUCCUUGGUGACGAAGAAAGUGACGGUAGCCAAGGAGGAAGCCCCGGCUAACUACGUGCCAGCAGCCGCGGUAAUACGUAGGGGGCGAGCGUUGUCCGGAAUUACUGGGCGUAAAGGGUGCGUAGGUGGCCUUUUAAGUUGGAUGUGAAAUACCCGGGCUUAACUUGGGGGGUGCAUCUAAUACUGGGAGGCUAGAGUGCAGGAGAGGGAAGCGGAAUUCCUAGUGUAGCGGUGAAAUGCGUAGAUAUUAGGAGGAACACCAGUGGCGAAGGCGGCUUUCUGGACUGUAACUGACACUGAGGCACGAAAGCGUGGGGAGCAAACAGGAUUAGAAACCCGAGUAGUCC
rnacentral:rRNA from 1 species